UUUCCGUAGGUGAACCUGCGGAAGGAUCAUUAAUGAGUUGUCAUGGGGUUCGAUGCUGGCAGCCAGUUUUUGGAUGCAUGUGCUUGCCCUAACAAUCAUCUUCUUCCAAACACCUGUGCACAUUUUUGAGGGAGUCUUGAGUUGGUUGCCGCUCUUGGAUGAUUCUCUCACAUUCCCUUAAAUCGUUAUACGCUAUUAACAAUGUUGAACGUGCUCUGUGCCGCAAGGCCAUUAAUAUAAUACAACUUUUAACAACGGAUCUCUUGGCUCUC
rnacentral:misc_RNA from 1 species